AAACAGAGGCGAUCGCUCACGAUCGAUUAUCCAAGACAUGCAUCUAGGUCGAGUUCGUUCGUUAAGACUGAGGUUGAGCUGUAGAUUGUCAAUUCGCAAAUAAAACGAGUUAUUGGUUUUUAUUAUUGUAAACGUUUUAUUUUCGACGAUUUUCUAUAAAUGUAUUUGAGUUCUAUUUUAUUUUUUUUACUUUUCCCACUCACGCUUCAGAUUUGGUGUCAAGUGCUUGGAAACCACCGACACCGGGUCUGGGAUGUGACAAGAAGUGUGACUGAUGACAUGUGUUCGAGUUGGUAUGAGAAGCAUUCAAGAUAAAAGUGGAUCGCAAGUUAGCUGCACGAUACUUUAAGUCUACUAAAGAGAAACAUGAUUCAAUAUAACGCUCCUAGUUGUAUUCCUUAGUGUAUUUCAACAAGGUUGUAACUUUCAAUUGAUUAUUAUAAAAAAUAUGUAUUCUUCUUUAAAAAAAAUAAAGUAGACAAAAUUUUAUAUGAUAUGAAUCGGGAAAACAAUCACAAAAAUCAUAUACAAGAUACAUGCGGUGACUAGUGUUAGUUGUGAUUGGAAACACUAUAAGACCUCUAGCGUUAGUUGUAGUUGGAAACACAAUAACACCUUCAAAAUUGACUACUAGCUAGUUAUAAGAUUGAUUAAUUUAAUCCUUACAAGAUUUAUAAUGAAUCACAUAAAUCAUCUUCGGAAAAAAAAAUCACAAAAAUCACAUGUGUGUUAUUGAAAACAUUGAGUACAAG
rnacentral:lncRNA from 1 species